rnacentral:rRNA from 1 species
GUUCUUGCCUGCCCAGUGACUAUAAGUUUAACGGCCGCGGUAUUUUGACCGUGCAAAGGUAGCGCAAUCACUUGUCUUUUAAAUAAAGACCUGUAUGAAUGGUGGAACGAGGGCUUAACUGUCUCCCUCAUCUAGUCAAUGAAAUUGAUCUACCCGUGCAGAAGCGGGUAUAAAAAUACAAGACGAGAAGACCCUUUGGAGCUUAAGACAAAAGACCAACUAUGUCAAAAGUCCUAAAAAUGAGACUAAACCAAAUAAUACUGGUCCCAGUCUUCGGUUGGGGUGACCGCGGGAGAAAAUAAAGCUCCCAUGUGGACAGGGGAAAACCCCUAGAACUAAGAGAGACAUCUCUAAGACACAGAACAUCUGACCAUAAAGAUCCGGCUAUAUGCCGACCAACGGACCAAGUUACCCUAGGGAUAACAGCGCAAUCCCCUUCCAGAGUCCAUAUCGACAAGGGGGUUUACGACCUCGAUGUUGGAUCAGGACAUCCUAAUGGUGCAGCCGCUAUUAAGGGUUCGUUUGUUCAACGAUUAAAGUCCU